rnacentral:rRNA from 1 species
AUUGAACGCUGGCGGCAGGCCCAACACAUGCAAGUCGAACGAGUGGCGGACGGGUGAGUAAUGUCUGGGAAACUGCCCGAUGGAGGGGGAUAACUACUGGAAACGGUAGCUAAUACCGCAUACCAUCGGAUGUGCCCAGAUGGGAUUAGCUAGUAGGUGGGGUAACGGCUCACCUAGGCGACGAUCCCUAGCUGGUCUGAGAGGAUGACCAGCCACACUGUAACUAGGCCUGUGUCCAGACUGCUACGGGAGUCGACAGUGGGGAAUAUUGCACAAGGGGCGAAAGCCUGAUGCAGCCAUGCCGGGUGUAGGAAGAAGGCCUUCGGGUUGUAAAGUACUUUCAGCGUGGGGGGGUUACCCGCAGAAGAAGCACCGGCUAACUCCGUGCGAGCAGCGGGGGUAAUAG